rnacentral:rRNA from 1 species
UGGGGAAUUUUGGACAAUGGGCGAAAGCCUGAUCCAGCCAUUCCGCGUGCAGGAUGACGGCCCUCGGGUUGUAAACUGCUUUUGUACAGAACGAAAAGGUUUCUAUUAAUACUCGGAGCUCAUGACGGUACUGUAAGAAUAAGCACCGGCUAACUACGUGCCAGCAGCCGCGGUAACACGUAGGGUGCAAGCGUUAAUCGGAAUUACUGGGCGUAAAGCGGGCGCAGGCGGGUAAUUAAGUCAGAGGGG